rnacentral:rRNA from 1 species
CCUACGGGAGGCUGCAGUGAGGAAUAUUGGUCAAUGGCCGGAAGGCUGAACCAGCCAUGCCGCGUGAAGGUCAGUGCCCUAUGGGCGUUAAACUUCUUUUGUGCGGGAGCAAUAAUGGUCACGUGUGGCCAGACGAGAGUACCGUACGAAUAAGCAUCGGCUCACUCCGUGCCAGCAGCCGCGGUAAUACGGGGGAUGCAAGCGUUAUCCGGAUUUAUUGGGUUUAAAGGGUGCGUAGGCUGUGAGGUAAGUCAGCGGUGAAAUGCCCCCGCUCAACGGGGUGAAGUGCCAUUGAUACUGCCUGGCUGGAAUGCGGAUGACGUGGGAGGAAUGUGUGGUGUAGCGGUGAAAUGCAUAGAGAUCACACAGAACACCGAUUGCGAAGGCAUCUCACGAAGCCGCGAUUGACGCUGAUGCACGAAAGCGUGGGUAUCAAACAGGAUUAGAUACCCUGGUAGUC